UUUUUUUUUUUUUUUUUUGUCGACACAGGAGUGUCCGGGUCAAUCCUUACGGGGCCCGACUAAUCCCCUGCACCCCGGAAGAGGAGGCCUUAGCGGGGUUUAUUGAAUCGGGUGAAUGUGAAGGCAUCUACAUUGGAGUGCCAUGGGAGGUAUAAUAAAUCCCAUGACACAGGUCCAUUACAUGCAUCAUUCUGAUGAUGCAUGUAAUGGUGGGUCAGACAAAUUUUUUUAAGUUGCAAUAGACUAAUUUUCAUCGGUAGUAUUCAUUUUGUUAUUAUUUGAUUUAAAUUAUGUAAUAUUAUGUUAUGGAGUUCAAUUAAUUACAUAAAGAAUUAUUAAUUAAGUAUGGAUUAUUAUGAUAUAUUCGCAUUUCAGGUAUCACAUAUUUGUUUAAUAAUUGCAUAAUUAUUUUUCAAAAAAUAACAAUAUAUUAUUUUUGAGAGAUAGAAAAAGAUAUAUUGUCCAAACUUAGAAAUUAAUAAUAUUAUUUUUUAGAAAAAAAAUUCAAAAUGUAAAAAAUUUAAUGAAAGUUAAUAACUUAUUUUUUAAAAUAACGAAAUUAUUUUUAAAAAAAUUACUUUAUUUAUUUAUAAAAUAUGAGUUAUGCAUUAUUAAAAUAAAUGUUUGAUUUAAUUAUGGACUCAUGCUAUUACACCUUGUGGAGUGUAAUCCAUUAUGAGUGAGAGUAUAAUAAAAAAUGAGAAAGUGAAAUACUGACGUAACAUGUGAAUUACACUCUAAAGAGUAUAAACCAUUGUAAAUGCUCUUAGUGGAUGCUGUUGUUGGUGAUUGCGUGGCGCUAUAUUUUAUAUGGUGCGUUCCGUCAUUGUUGAGCUGGCUGCUGGAGAUGUGUUCAUUCUCAUAGUGGACAUUGCCUUGUAUCCAUUUAAAAUUUUAGUUGCUUUUGUUGUUUCCUUUUGCUCAGCUUCGUUCCUGCUCAGACUUUGGGUCAUUUGUAUUCACAUGUAAACAUACUACAACUGUCACCUAUAUACAUACAAGUGUCAUACAAACUAAAAAUAUUUGGCACUCAUGCAAGAAUUACAACCAAUUUCAAUUGACACGUCAUGUAUCUCAAAUCUCCACAUAUCCAGACAAGCGGCUGGCACUCCAUUCAAUUCUUUCAAUAAACGUUACAAUAAAGAUUAAUAAAUAACAAAUUUUCCAUAAUAACUAAGCCCUGCCACACCAUUGCAUAACACUAAAAUUAUACAUACUAAACACAAACCUGGGCAUUGGCGUGGCACCCCAAAACUAGUAAGGUAUAAGUAAAAGCACUUAUGCCACAAGUAUUCCCAGGAUUAAUAGCACAUUUGUGUAUCAGUAUACGUGGAAUGCAUAACACUUGUCAAGAGUUGAAUGAAUCGAUUCAGUUGCUUAGACUAGUUCUCUUCUCCGGUCUCCUGCCUCUUUCUAUGGUGUCCAUACUAAACUAACUACACGAAUUCUUGUCUGAAAAUUUGAAGUCGGAUAUUCACCGGAGAUGGGAUAUUCACCGGGAUUCCGGCAUCAAUCUCGGACAUGCUUUUAUUUACCAUUUUUUUUUCAUUUUCCAAUUUUUUCUCAAAUAAAAAAGAAAAAGAACAUGCACGUGAGACCCAUACUCAACAGUUUACCACCCCAUAAUUUACUUUCUUAAAUUGUAUAUGAUGUUUCGUACUACAUUACCAAAUUUCAAUUUUUUUUUUUUUGGCUGGUUGGGUGGGUGAGGGUGGGGCGACGAGGGGGUUGUACUACAAUACCGUAACUUAUAGGGCUUGUAGUAGAAUAAGAACUUUCUCAACCACCUAUAUAUUCUACUCUUGGAAGCCAUUUUCACUCCACAUAAUUAACUACCAAAGCAAUUCUCCUGAUUAGAUUAGAUAUCGACGAAAAAUUUCUAAAUGGCUCCUGCGGAAGACAACGUUGUUGUUCCACACAAGAAGCUUGAGAAGUUGCUGAGCAUGAAAGGAGGCAAGGGAGAGGCUAGCUAUGUCAAUAACUCUCAAGCCCAGGUUCUUCGUUCUCCCAACCUUUUUUUUUAUUAGUACUUUGUUGGUAUCCUGACAUGGUAGUUUGCGGACAACCUGGACUAGUAAAACUCCAAAUUUGCACGUUGGAUUUAGUACUACUUGAGAGCAAACUUUUGGUCCCUGUCCAAAUGCCUUCAUUUCAUCUUCAGAUGUUGAUCGAUCAUCAAUCUAACAUAUGCAUUACUAUAUUGGCAAACAUAACUACCACUGAAUACAUCGUUAUUUUGAUCCAUAACAAAAAUUACAUGACCGCAUAAAAUCAGAGAGGGUUUUGUUUUUUUCUUUUCUUUCUACCUUUUUAUACAUGGCUCUUCUUUAACUUUCAGGGUUUCUUUUUUCUGCCUUUUAUAUAUGGUUCUUCUCCAUAAAUAUACCUUUGCAGGCUCAACAUGCUCGGUCCAUGCUCCAUCUUCUGAAAGACACCCUGGACGUAGUCCAACUAAACAGCCCGGAAACCCCUUUCGCGGUGGCUGAUUUGGGAUGCUCUUGCGGCAGCAACACUCUCUUCAUCGUUGACGUGAUCAUCAAGCACAUGAUCAAGCGUUACGAGGCCUUAGGCUACGAUGAGCCACCGGAGUUUUCAGCAUUUUUCUCUGAUCUCCCCUCUAACGACUUCAACACUCUUUUUCAGCUCCUCCCACCCUACGGCGGUAGCAUGGAGGAGUGCCUCGCUUCCGACAGCCACCGCUCGUAUUUUGCUGCUGGAGUUCCUGGUUCAUUUUACCGCCGCCUCUUCCCUGCUAGAUCAGUUGAUUUCUUUUACUCUGCGUUUUCCCUGCACUGGCUUUCUCAGGUAGUUAUUUCUCAUAUGACCCUUUUUUUUUUUUUUCAAAGUUACAAGAAGAAGAAGAAGCACCUUUUGAUGACCUUUACUGUAUGUAGACUUUCAUGAGUAGGACAACAUGAUUCAUUGUUGAUUAAACAGCAAAUGAAAUAUUUUAGGAAAAAGGUUCAUAUAUAAUACUGCUGCCUAAUUAGACUAACUAAUAAUAGUUUAAGAAAACUUCGUUUGUUUUAUUCUCGAAUCCCGAUGAUGAUUUGCAGUUUAAUUAUGACACUAAACCAGAUUGAUUGAUUAUACCAAGUGAAGUAAUCACGCAUUUGCUUUAGCUUGUUAACGAUCAAAACGUACCGUCUGAUUUACUUUGAGAAGGUCAAAAAGUAAAAAAGUAGGGUAAUAAUUAUAAUGCGCCUUGGCUUUAAUCAAACUUCAAAACCGCCUUUCAAAGACUUGCUGAAUCCAUCUUCGACCCUUUUGAUUUCAUUAUAGUAGAGUAGCAUAUGGUAUCAGUUUAUGAAAGCAAAUAACUUUCUUUUGGUUUCAACAAAAUCCCCUUCAAAUUGGGUUCAAUUGUAAGUUCCCAAAACACGCCUUCAAAUGUUCAUAUUGUUGACAUAAGUAGUAAGUGGAAUUAUUAUCAGGAGUCAGAGGGAAGUUAAAUUACUCCUACCCUACUUGAUAGGACAGAGAGUCAAAUGAAAGAUUUGAAAAAAUUAGCUAGUGGCUAUAUAAAUUUGGAUUUGAGAAAGAAAAAGUUAUCAUAAGAUGACAAAUCAUGGGCUAAUUAGUCAUCCGAUGACAAAUCAUGGGGUAAUUAGUCAUCCUCUUCUUUCGGUUUCGGAAGUGCUAAUUACUGCAGCGCUGGCUAUUGUGGAUUAGUAGCAGGCUAGCAGUAGUGUAUGUACUAUGUAUAGGCCGGGUGGCGCAAGUCAUCACAAAUAAAUAUAAUAAUAAUAUAAGUGGGGUGCAGGUGCCCGAUGGUGUGGUGGACAAUAGAUCAGCGGCUUACAACAAAGGAAGAAUAUUCAUCCACGGUGCAAAUGAGAUCACAGCAGACGCCUAUAGAAAGCAGUUCCAGACGGAUUUAGCCGGUUUCCUCAGGUCAAGAUCAGUGGAAAUGAAGAGGGGCGGAUCAAUGUUCUUGGCCUGUUUAGGCAAAACUUCACUCGACCCCACAGACCAAGGUGGGGCAGGGCUUCUUUUUGGGGCUGACUUUCAAGAUGCCUGGGAUGAUCUUGUCCGAGAGGUAAUCAUAACCACAAAUCAUCAUCAUUAUUAUUAGGAUAAUUUGUUUGGUUUAGAAAAACAUUCAUUCAUGCCCGAGCAGGGUUUAUGGUAAUACAAUGUAUUAAUCGAGCAGGGUUUAAUCACGAGCGAGAAAAGGGACAAGUUCAACAUUCCGGUGUACGCGCCGAGCCUGCAAGACUUCAAGGAGGUAGUGGAAGCCGAUGGGUCGUUUGUCAUAAACAAGCUGGAAGUAUUCAAAGGAGGAAGCCCGCUGGUGGUGAAUCACCCAGAUGAUGCGGCUGAGGUGGGCCGAGCCUUAGCCAACAGCUGCAGGAGCAUCAGUGGAGUCCUAGUCGAUGCCCACUUAGGCGAUCACCUCAGCGAGGAGCUGUUCUCCCGUGUCCAGCGCCGAGCCACAAGCCACGCUAAAGACAUACUAGAACACCUCCAAUUCUUUCAUAUAAUUGCCUCUCUUUCUUUGGCUAUAUAGUCUCAAAUUGCCACAAAAAGGCAGAUACUGGAAGGAGGAUCUUGUACUUCCAGUCCAUAUAUUUAUAUAUAUAUAUAUUUAUGUAUGCGUAUAGGGACUGUUUGUUUGCACCUGUCAAGUUAUAAUAAUUUUUUCUUUUCUUUUAUAUAUAUAUAUAUAUAUAUAUAUUGCUGGUUUCGUGUUUCCUUUUUUUUUUUUUGUGGAAUUAGUGAAUAAGUUUUCUCUUUUCUAAAUUUGGAAAUACAGUUUAAAAAAAAAAUCACUUCAUUAAGUAAAUAAAGUGAUUGAAACUUCCUUCAGGCUUCAACUCAAUUAUCAACAGGACAGCUGAGCCUCACAAUUGUAGUGCCAAGAAAAGCUUCAGAGAAUAUAUUAUAUUUAUUUGUAUGUAGAGUACAUUGGCAUAAUCUCCCAUAUUGAAAUAUUGCUUGCUUAUGCGGAUUUGGAGAGAGGAAACAGCCGACAUGGUUUUCAGCCCAAAAGGAAAAGCAAAAUGAGAAGAAAGCAAAGAGAAAAAAAAAAAAAAAAAAGUUAUGAGAGUCAAUGAGGUGUGGAUCCAUCUUAUCCAACAUUGUGUUAAUCAAAUCACCUUUAAUUAACAUCGUAAUGGAAUCUAUUGGAUGACUCCUUUUGCCGUGAAACAACAAUUAUAGCGCUUUUGUGGAAACUUUCCACAGUUGGAAUGCCUGUUUAGUCUUUCUUUUUUCUUGUAUACGUUCCAUCAGUUCUCGAAAAUCGAGACUGCCUUUGUCUAACUGGGCUCACGCUGCAGUUAGCUAUCGGGAACCGAAAAGGGUUGCAAAUUUGCAAUUGCAGCAUCAUACUACAAUAUGAACACCAAAACGGACGUUGGCGUAAGCGGAGGGGGGUUGCACUUUCUAACUAUGAAGUCUCGGGUUUGAAAUUUAUGAAAAUAAAAAUAAUAACGUUAGCAGAAUUUUCCUCGUAAGAAGUUCGAUCCGACUCAAGCAGAAUUAGUCGCAAAUCGUAAAAUGGAUACGGGUACCUGUGGUGGACAAUAUAGACGAUCUUAAAUUGGAUUGGAAGUAAAUUUUGAUGCUUCGGUUAAAACCCUUCCAAAUCCCUACGGUUCCAAGUUUCAUGUCUGCAACUGUAUGCUCCUAGUGCAUUCUCUUGGUUUCAAAGUUAUAAUAACCCCUUAUUGUUAUAAUAAUAAUGAUAAUGAUAAUGAUAAUAAUCAUCAUCGUCGAAGCAAAGGGAAAUCGAAUAAAUGACAUGGUGGAUUCAAUGGUGUGGGAUCUAUUAGAACAUUGUAUUUACCAUUUUGAAGGCUUGACUCCACUAGUUCAACCAAACGAAGUGAGAUUUUUAAAGACCACCACUUUGUAGCACCACUUUGUAGGAGAAAAUAUGGGAGAGAAUCCCACCAAACAAGCCUAGACUUCAACUAAACCCGAUCAAAAUCAGCAAAGGACAUAUGCAGCAGUAGCAUUCCCUAUCCCUGUCCUGCGUACAUGUCCAAUCUUUCAUGUUGAUGAUGAAUUCAAUAACAAUCGAGCUUGUUCUGCCAAAUCAGCAAUCUUUGAAUAAUCAGCAUGUGAAGACUUCUUCAUUGAUCCAUACGAUUCCAGGUUCCAACUCAAACCACUUCGAUGCCUAUAUCAGAUCAAGCCCCUACUGUAAAGUCAUACAAAAUUGCUAAAAACACGACAUUGCUAAAUCCCUGUAAAAGCAGCCAUGCACCAUCACUCCGAAUCUCCAACUCCAGCCAUCCUUCUUUCCAAGACCCAUCAGCGUUGCUAAAUCAUUACUGCCAUUACACACUUAAUUUCAAGGUAUAUAAUCACAUAAAGUUAAAAAAGACUUUCCCCCGGGAGAAGAAAAAAAGAAAAAGAGUACGUAAGGUAAGGUUGAGGAAAAUUCGGAUGCAAGUGUAAGAAUAGCGUUACAUAAUCUCCAAACAUUCUCAAAUCUGUCACCGUGGGUCAUGAGUCCAAUAUGAAUACAUGAGCCACUUCUGGUCGUCUAAAACUCACCUUCUUCUUCAACUUCCCACUCUGGGUUCGGCAGAACGAGGAAUCUCCGAUCUCUCCUCCAUCAAGUCUAUCAAAUUUCAUCGAAGAUGAUCUCUCAAGCACGGAAUUCUCUCUAGAAUUAGGUAAGCAGCCUUCGUCAUUAGCUGUAUGAUCAAGUGAUGGAUAGACCCUCUUGUUGGCUUGCUUAGAGAGGGCAAACUGAUGGUGAUCACCAGCUUCCUUACCGUGACUUAAGCAAGGUGAUGCUAAAAUCCAUUCCUCCAGAGUUACCAACUGUACUUUAUUCUUUGACCCAUGAUACUUCUUUUUUUGCGGAUGGGACUUCUUCUCUCCCCUUUUCUGUGUUGUGCUUCCGCCUAGGCAUCCUUGCUUCACAAAAUUGAUUAUGGAUGCUGCUAAACCAACUUCAGAUUCUUGUUUAGAUGAUCCUCUGGCAUUCUUCUCGCGAAAACCUUUAAGAUUUGAUUUCAUACUAUUUUCUGCUCAAAUAAUUAAUGUCGCACCUAAUAUUCGUGAAAAAAAAAAUAACUCAAGGAAAUUAAUGAGAUGGUUUUGAUUGCAGGAUGACGAAGAAUAUAAAACGGAACUCGGGCGGGUACUCCAAGAGGGAACCAUUUUUCAUAGGCAGAAACGUUCAUUAUUAGGAUUGAUUCUGAAACUCCAUUUUGUUAUCCAUCGGUUGUCCCCAAGCAAAGCAAAUAUUAUUCAGAUUCCUCUGUGGAUAAUUUUCGAUACUAUUUCUACGAUACAAGAAAAACCUCGUCGCUUCCGUGAGUUACGUCCAAACAAUCCAAUCCUUUGAAUUUUUCUUCAAAAUCAGACGAAAACUAUUGUCAUGCGUCUUCGUAUGCGGCCUGGUUCUAGAACAGAACAAGCAUUGUACAGCGGGUAAAUAGUGCUAACAGAACAAGCUUUGUGCUGUUAAUAUUAGUGAAGCAUUGGCACACUUCUACAAGGACUUCAAGAAUGUGGCAUCAACUAUAAAGAAAUCAAGAUUCAUAGCUUCCUUCUACAGGUAUAAAGUUAAUCCAGCCAUAGCUUUCUCGUUUGGAUUGUAGUUUUCUAUAGAAAAAUUUUAAUUAUUUUUCACGAACACAUUUUUUAAUUAUAUUUUCUAUCUCACAUAUAUUAAAUUAUUAUAGUAUAUUUUUUUAAAAAAAAAAAAAAUAACUCCUAAAAAUAGCAAUUAAAAAGGCCUGCCGGCCGCAUCUACAGAAACUUUCAUUACCUCUUCUUCUACCCCCACGCCCACCCCAGAAGAAGAAAGGCAGAAAAAUGAAAAACUGGUAUCUUGUUAUUGGAAACCUUUCCUUGGAAUCUCGAAGAUUAAAAAUCAAUUUCCUAUGAGGUUUCCCGAAGGUCACUAAUUGCUAAUUUUAGCGAGACAUAUACACUUUCGAUUUCCAGUUACGGUAAAUAGAGAUAUGAAGGCUGUUGAAUUAAUUAAAAGACCGAAAUUAAAAGACUUGACAACUGAGAUCCACAAUCUUACAAACUACGAGAAGAUCGCAGGGACGGAUCAUAAAAUUUGUUCCUACGUCGUUUCAACCGCAGAAGCAUCUGAAAACUUCUAAUUAUACCUUAUAUUUCAAAAAGAACAAAUCGUAAGGUUUUUUCCUUGUAAACUGCGUAUUUAUUUUGCCCUCGAAAUCCCUGAACUAAAAGGAUCUAAAUAAAUACUCGCAAAUCUGCUUUUAAUUAUGGUGCUGUGCUGCAGACAGCAAGGAUUCCAACUAACGCAUCGUCUUAAAAAAAAAAGGUACAUAUCUAAUGGUUGGAAGAUAAAAGCAUCAAUUUUUCGGUGCGUUCAGCAAUUUUGUUACAAAAGCACUACAGUUGGUACACAUUAGACAUGGGGUGUGAGAAAUGUGGGAUGGGAAGGGAAGGUUACUGAAGGUCCAUAGCACGGGGCAUUUCUUCACGCUUCCAACAAUGACGCACAAAUUUCUUAAUGCACAACCAACUUCCAAACCAGCAAGUGUACAAAAUCCAAUAACUUCUCAAUAACUGAUACCCAUCUUUACAAGUAAACAAGAAAAGAAGCUGGCCAUAAAAGGAACAUCACCAAAGCAAAUAUCCAAAAUCAAGAAUUCAGUGACCAGCAGAUGGAAGUGUUAAUAACUCAAGUGACUUCUUAAGGUGAUCCACAGCAACAGAAACAUCAUCAAAUGCCAAGGCUCCAACUGCAAAUCUUGCAGCCUUGUGUGCU
rnacentral:lncRNA from 1 species